UCGAGCGCACCUUCGGGUGAGCGGCGGACGGGUGAGUAACGCGUGGGAAUGUGCCCUUUGGUACGGAACAACACAGGGAAACUUGUGCUAAUACCGUAUGUGCCCUUCGGGGGAAAGAUUUAUCGCCAUUGGAGCAGCCCGCGUUGGAUUAGGUAGUUGGUGGGGUAAAGGCCUACCAAGCCUACGAUCCAUAGCUGGUCUGAGAGGAUGAUCAGCCACACUGGGGCUGAGACACGGCCCAGACUCCUACGGGAGGCAGCAGUAGGGAAUCUUGCGCAAUGGGCGAAAGCCUGACGCAGCCAUGCCGCGUGAAUGAUGAAGGUCUUAGGAUUGUAAAAUUCUUUCACCGGGGAAGAUAAUGACGGUACCCGGAGAAGAAGCCCCGGCUAACUUCGUGCCAGCAGCCGCGGUAAUACGAAGGGGGCUAGCGUUGCUCGGAAUUACUGGGCGUAAAGGGCGCGUAGGCGGAUAGUUUAGUCAGAGGUAAAAGCCCAGGGCUCAACCUUGGAACUGCCUUUGAUACUGGCUAUCUUGAGUUCGGGAGAGGUGAGUGGAAUGCCGAGUGUAGAGGUGAAAUUCGUAGAUAUUCGGCGGAACACCAGUGGCGAAGGCGACUCACUGGCCCGAUACUGACGCUGAGGCGCGAAAGCGUGGGGAGCAAACAGGAUUAGAUACCCUGGUAGUCCACGCUGUAAACGA
rnacentral:rRNA from 1 species